GCUGAUAGGAGGCCCAAUAGUAAAAGGUUCUCAUGGGUAUUGCAAUAGGCACACCAUGAUGUGAAGUCACCAUCAUUGUUUCCAUUAGUCUCACAUGCCACAUAUCACAGGCAAUAAUUUUGUGCUAUGUGACGUGUUAAGCUUUGACGAAUACACCAGAGAGAUUGUAAUAUUCUAGUUAAUUCUGUGUUAGAAAUUGAUUGUGGGAAGCUUGGGACAUGCAAUUUGGUACAUUGCCAGCAAAGGGUAUACCAUCAUCUAUAUAAUUUCAAUUUGAACAGAAUAAUAGAAUUAUGGUAAUAAAUGGGUGUUACUUUGUCAGUUUUAUUGAAACCAUCUUCAACUUCUACAUCAAUGUGAUAGAAAACAUGAAAAUUUUUAUUUAGGAGUGUGCAGAUUCAUCUUACAUUUUAAGUUCUCAAUCUAGGGACCUGGAAUUUGAGUUUGUUUCCAAUUACAUACUUUAACAACUUGAAGUGAUCGCUGCUUUGUUUUGUCUAGUUUAACAAUGUGAUAGUUGCAUUGCUUUAACUUAUCUACAUUGAUAACUUGGAGGUUGAUUUGCUUUUAAUUUCCUGUUAACAUGGUUACUUUGCUUUGGCUCAUCUACUUUAGCAACUUGGAUUUCUCACUUUCUUUUAAAUUGUUUAGUUUAACGGAAUCACAUUAACUUGCCCAGCCUAACAAUUGAGAGGUUCACUUUAAUAUGACAUUUCUAGUUGAAAGUCUAGGGUGCUUUGAGAUCUUAAUAUGACCCUUUUGGAGGAAACAACUUAUAUAGUCCUUGUGUAAGAACUUUGACUUGCCUAUGAACCAAUCACCAUAUAUAUCAGGACUUACGGUUGUGCAUGGCUAUGUUGGUAGUAGGUACAUAAUUCAGUUAUCGAUUGCCUCAGCACUUUAAUCGAAAUACUCCAAUUUGAGUGAUAGAUUACAAAUAGGACAGCUGUAAAGAGCAUAAAACAAUCAUAUUGACGAUAUGUUCUAGUAUGUCUUGAUUUGUUCAGCCAAUGUCUUAAUAGUCACUUGAGUCAAGGACUGAAAUCUUGAUAUGGUAUUAAUGCCAGUUGUCAGUCGGACUGGCACAGAAUUGGUAUUCUACUUUAUAAACUAGUUCUCAACCAUCAAAACCCUAUUAUACCCUGUUUUUUUAUUGCCUUAGACAAUGAACAAAAAAAGUUUCUAUGACCUGCUAUGAAUAUAUUAAUACAUAAAAACUUCUACAAUGCAUGAAGUUAGCACAUGAUGCACGUACCACCCAUCUGUCACAAAUAUGCAAGUGAAAUAUUUGUGAAUACAUGACCACUAUAGAAGUCAUGACUUACCAUUGGGUGGAUUAUACCACCUAAAGGAAUAUUGUGUUGUAUAGGGAGGGUGGUCUGGGUUUCAACAUCUCAUGGUUGGAGAUUAUGCUUAGAGUUUUGAAGAACCCAUGAAUAAUAUUGCUCCCACAAUAUUUGAAUUUGAUAGAUUGUGCCUCUGGUCCUCUGUUAUACCAAACUAGCAUAAGUCAUGGCAUCUUGGUCACUAAGUUUAGUUCUGGUACUAGCUAAUUUAUUGGUAUGAUAGGUAAAUAGUCUUGCUAUGACUGCCAGCGUGGAACUAGUUUUAAGUGUUGAUAAUGAUGGUUUAGCAGUCAAAUUGCCAUGAUUAUACAGUUAUGAUGAGCCAUAUGGUCACUGUUAUUUAGCAAACUAAGACCAAUUAUUGAUGUCAUAUUCCAAACUAAGACCAAACAUAUGAAGUUUGUUUUUCCUUGCAUUAACUAAUAUCAUGGAUGAUAUGGUGCUAUAACCAUCAUCUUACUUGGCAUUAACAAAACAUUAAUUCUUAAUCCAUGCUCUCUCUUAGUCUCUUUGUAUUUUUCAUAUUAGGAAUGUAAAGCCCCCAACCUUGACCACUAUUUUCAUAGACAUCUUACUUUUUACCUUAGUAUUAUCAUUCGGAACCUCACAAAUACUGGAAUUAGAUGGACAAAGGGUCUGAUCAUGCUCCUAUAACAUUUACUCCUUAACGAUAUUUAAGAAGUUAACUAAGUGCUAUGACCAACCUUUCUCCUAGCCAUGUUAUAGGCAUGAUUGAGGUUAACUUGUUGUACCAUGGGCCACGAAAAGCUGACUGCCUAUGACUUGACCAUUGCUUAGCAUCUGGUCCUGGCCCUCAUACUGAGGUGGUUCAUUCUGCCGGUUGUCCUUGGUCUCUUCCAAAAUAAACUGAGAUAAACACCAUCAAUCUACUGUGUUUUCGAGUAAUAGACCAUCUUGGUUUCUGCUUAGCCAGUCUAUCAUCAAGUUCCAAUCAUCUUGUUAAAACCCAAUGUCAAAUGGAUCUGACUUGGGCUCCUCCAUUUCUUUAUCCACCUCUAAGCUUGUGGCAAUUGUGCCCAUGGAAUUGAAUUUUUGGUCAACAUGAGCCAUAUCAUGCUGAACUGUUUUAAUUGCCAAUUUUUUAUAAUGAUGUUCACAAAAUUUAUACUCUAAUAAAAGACAACACACUAUUGCAAGUUGCAUACAGUUUUUUGCAUGUUAUGGACAUCCAAAUCUAAUAAGCAAUGAAAAUAUAUCAAUUAUAUCCAUCUCUUAGCAUCAACCAUACUUUUAUAGAUAUGAAUAUUUACUUAAUGUUUUGAACAAAUUCUCUUAUUCAGUUUGUGAAUGGAGAAUUUUUCUAGAUCCUUUGAGAUGAUGCAAGCUUACCUUUCAGGGACUUAAGUUUCAACAAAUUGCAUGGUUCUAUUCCAAACUUAUUUGGAAAGCUUGCUACCUUACGAUAUCUGUGAGUUCUAUCAUUUCUUAAUCUUUUCUCUAUUCAAAUUAGGUGUCUCAUUUGUAAGUGAGCCAAAAAAUGUUUUGGAUCUCAAAAUUUAUUUAUCUCAUCUAUCACCAUUUGCUUGUUCUUGGCAUAUCUAUUAACAAUUUCUACUACUAAGUUGCUGUUUUCUAUAAAAUUGUUUGAGACAAAGCUUCUCUUCUUACCUAUUUGGCAAGUUUCACAUUCUUUUCACAUUUAGAAUAUUUUAGUCAUAAAGGUUGUAUAUUAUGGAACAUUGAUAAAUAGCUGAACAAUAAUUGGCUUGAAAAUCUUGAUUGGAAUAGGAAAAAUUCCUUAAAUGCUUAUACAUAUCUGAUAUGUUUGUAUGGACAAAGUUGACUGGGCAAUCUUGCAAACUGAAUGACGGAAGAGUCAGAUGAUGAAUUUAUCUUGUAAGUAUUUACGCUGGAUGCUAGAA
rnacentral:lncRNA from 1 species